rnacentral:pre_miRNA from 1 species
CUUGGUAUUGUUGGGUGGUAUGGUAAGUUUAAGUUUUUAAGAAAUUGUGAAAGUUUUUCAAAACAAUUUCUAUUUUAAAUUCUACCAACAAU